rnacentral:rRNA from 1 species
UUGGAGGGCAAGUCUGGUGCCAGCAGCCGCGGUAAUUCCAGCUCCAAUAGCGUAUAUUAAAGUUGUUGCAGUUAAAAAGCUCGUAGUUGAAUUUCGGGAUCAGAUUGUCGGUCGUGCCUCGGUACGCACUGGCAUUAUUGGUUCCUACCUUCUGAAGAACCGCGAUGUCAUUAAUUUGGUGUCGUGGGGAAUCAGGACUGUUACUUUGAAAAAAUUAGAGUGUUUAAAGCAGGCUUACGCUUGAAUACAUUAGCAUGGAAUAAUGAAAUAGGACGUUUGAUUCUAUUUUGUUGGUUUCUAGGAUUGACGUAAUGAUUAAUAGGGAUAGUUGGGGGCAUUAGUAUUCAAUUGUCAGAGGUGAAAUUCUUGGAUUUAUUGAAGACUAACUACUGCGAAAGCAUUUGCCAAGGAUGUUUUCAUUAAUCAAGAACGAAAGUUAGGGGAUCGAAGACGAUCAGAUACCGUCGUAGUCUUAACCAUAAACUAUGCCGACUAGGGAUCGGAUGAUGUUAAUUUUUUAAUGACUCAUUCGGCGCCUUACGGGAAAC